AAGUGGCGCACGGGUGCGUAACGCGUAUGCAACCUACCUUAAUCAGGGGGAUAGCCCGAAGAAAUUCGGAUUAACACCGCAUAAAAUCACAGUACAGCAUUGUACAAUGAUCAAAUAUUUAUAGGAUUAAGAUGGGCAUGCGUGUCAUUAGCUAGUUGGCGGGGUAACGGCCCACCAAGGCGACGAUGACUAGGGGAUCUGAGAGGAUGGCCCCCCACACUGGUACUGAGACACGGACCAGACUCCUACGGGAGGCAGCAGUAAGGAAUAUUGGUCAAUGGAGGCAACUCUGAACCAGCCAUGCCGCGUGCAGGAAGACAGCCCUCUGGGUCGUAAACUGCUUUUAUUCGGGAAUAAACCUCAUUACGUGUAAUGAGCUGAAUGUACCGAAGGAAUAAGGAUCGGCUAACUCCGUGCCAGCAGCCGCGGUAAUACGGAGGAUCCAAGCGUUAUCCGGAUUUAUUGGGUUUAAAGGGUGCGUAGGCGGCUUAUUAAGUCAGGGGUGAAAGACGGUGGCUCAACCAUCGCAGUGCCCUUGAUACUGAUGAGCUUGAAUACACUAGAGGUAGGCGGAAUGUGACAAGUAGCGGUGAAAUGCAUAGAUAUGUCACAGAACACCGAUUGCGAAGGCAGCUUACUAUGGUGUGAUUGACGCUGAGGCACGAAAGCGUGGGGAUCAAACAGGAUUAGAUACCCUGGUAGUCCACGCCCUAAACGAUGAAUACUCGCUGUUAG
rnacentral:rRNA from 1 species